GAUGAACGCUGGCGGCGUGCCUAAUACAUGCAAGUCGAGCGAACGGACGAGAAGCUUGCUUCUCUGAUGUUAGCGGCGGACGGGUGAGUAACACGUGGAUAACCUACCUAUAAGACUGGGAUAACUUCGGGAAACCGGAGCUAAUACCAGAUAAUAUUUUGAACCGCAUGGUUCAAAAGUGAAAGACGGUCUUGCUGUCACUUAUAGAUGGAUCCGCGCUGCAUUAGCUAGUUGGUAAGGUAACGGCUUACCAAGGCAACGAUGCAUAGCCGACCUGAGAGGGUGAUCGGCCACCCUGGAACUGAGACACGGUCCAGACUCCUACGGGAGGCAGCAGUAGGGAAUCUUCCGCAAUGGGCGAAAGCCUGACGGAGCAACGCCGCGUGAGUGAUGAAGGUCUUCGGAUCGUAAAACUCUGUUAUUAGGGAAGAACAUAUGUGUAAGUAACUGUGCACAUCUUGACGGUACCUAAUCAGAAAGCCACGGCUAACUACGUG
rnacentral:rRNA from 1 species